UACGUAGGGUGCAAGCGUUAAUCGGAAUUACUGGGCGUACAGCGUGCGCAGGCGGCGCCGCAAGUCAGGCGUGAAAUCCCCGAGCUCAACUUGGGAAUUGCGCUUGAAACUACGGUGCUGGAGUAUGGCAGAGGGAGGCGGAAUUCCACGUGUAGCGGUGAAAUGCGUAGAGAUGUGGAGGAACACCGAUGGCGAAGGCAGCCUCCUGGGCCAAUACUGACGCUCAUGCACGAAAGCGUGGGGAGCAAACAGG
rnacentral:rRNA from 1 species